rnacentral:misc_RNA from 1 species
AGCCAAAAGCUGUUGAUGAUGAAGAGCCACCUCUGAAGCCAGAGAAUGUCUCUGAUUUUAGACGAUUAUUAUUACUGUUGAUAGACGCUAUUUCCCAGUCCACUAUGUUAGCAGAACAAGAUGAGAGAGCUGAUCAAAAUUUGGUCUCGAUCGAGCCGGAGCUGCAAAAAACUAAAGUGGCAGAAGAGCACCUUGAUCCUGCCACUACUAAUGGUACAUUUGAUGCCCUAAAUUGUGCAAGUGAAGAAGCACCAGAAUAUGUAACUGAGCCUCUUUCUUCUACAAAGGGUACCCCUCAACUAAUCGAAAAUGAUGUCUCAUCCUUGCAAUGUGAUGUCGCUGACAUUGAGAAAACUGAGGAUUCCAUACCUGGUCUAGAUUCUGUAGCUCUCAAAGAUGAAGAAUCAGAUCUUGUAGCUGUUUCAGCAUUUGGUACAACUGAAGUUGAAGAUGGUACUCAAGAUCAAGGGUCUAGUGUAGUUAGGUCAUCUUUGGAA